UACGUAGGGGGCAAGCGUUGUCCGGAAUCAUUGGGCGUAAAGAGCGUGUAGGCGGCCCGAUUAGUCCGCUGUGAAAGUCCAGGGCUCAACCCUGGAAUGCCGGUGGAUACUGUCGGGCUAGAGUCCGGAAGGGGCGAGUGGAAUUCCUGGUGUAGCGGUGAAAUGCGCAGAUAUCAGGAGGAACACCAAUGGCGAAGGCAGCUCGCUGGGACGUGACUGACGCUGAGACGCGAAAGCGUGGGGAGCAAACAGG
rnacentral:rRNA from 1 species